ACAAAGUGUCAUUAUCCUAUUUUUGACGCACCGUUUGAUUGUUUAUCAUUAUUCCUUAUAAACACCUUAAUUUCCACAUUGUUACAUUUAGAACCCUUUAGUAAUGAAAACUUUCUGUUUUUAGGUACCUUAUUAGUUUUCAAACUCAAAAAAUUUCGCAAUGUCUUAAAUAAGCCUUUGCCAUCCUUAUGAAAACUUUUUUUAUGCCCUAUUUUGCUGUCUGAUACGCUUGAGUAUAACGUUUUUGUAUCAGAUGAACCCUCCCAGUCAUUAUAAUCAUCCUCUUCAACUGUACGUAGACGAUCCAAGUAGUUAUCCGAGAACGGCCUGAUUUGUUCCAUUUCUGGCCUUGAUCGAACUAACUCAGAUUAGCGAGUAAGGGAUAGGCUUUGUUUUUUAUUUUUAGAAAAGGGUCGUUUUACAAUACUCAAUAUAAUCAAAAUUCCGUAGA